UACGUAGGGAGCAAGCGUUGUCCGGAAUCAUUAGGCGUAAAGCGCGCGUAGGUGGCUUCGUAAGUCGGAUGUGAAAACUCUGGGCUCAACCCAGAGCCUGCAUCUGAAACUGGAGGGCUAGGGUUUUGGAGGGGAAAGCGGAAUUCCAGGUGUAGCGGUGAAAUGCGUAGAUAUCUGGAGGAACACCGGUGGCGAAGGCGGCUUUCUGGACAAAUACCGACGCUGAGGCACGAAAGCUAGGGGAGCAAACAGG
rnacentral:rRNA from 1 species